ACAAGUAAAUAAAUAAAUAAAUAAAAUGUGGGAGUGGCUCAGGAACGGGGCAGAGGGCAUGGAAGAGAGUGUCAAUGAAAGCCUAAAGUGCCUUCAAGUAGCUGGUGAUAGUCAGCUUACACUGACCAGGCAGUGAGGGAGAGCUUACAAGAAAGUGAAGCAACUGCUACCAGAACCCAGAGUCAAGACAAGCUUUGCGUUUGAAUAGCAGAAGGUUCGGCAGCAGUGUGGCAUGCAGUCAUGAGAAACGUAUAAGAUGGACCUAAUCAACUGGGCAACACAGAUUUCCAACUAGAGUGCUACAAGGGCCACCUGCCUUUGUCUCGUUUUGUUUUGUUUCUGCUGCUUAGAGUAGAGUGCAGGAAGAGAUAAGUAAACUAAAGGAAUAAAAAGAAAGAAAGAAAAAAAGGAGCCAUGAUUCACUUAAAUUGAAAAUUUUUAGCUUCCCGGGAUGGCACAUGAUCCUAAAAUUAAGAAAUGACUCCUAAACAGGAACAAAGCCAGGCUGUUGCCAGGGGAGAGAUGGGUUAAGUGUGAGUCCAAGGAUGCGACUGAAGAGUCUCCUGUUUGGACCUCAGGAUCCUUAGCGGCGGCUCCUCGGAGUGAAAACGAGUCGGGAAAAGACUCUUGGAGGAGAUGACAGAUGCUCUCGUCAAACAAUGGGGCCUUGGGUAGGUUAGCCUUGUUCUCAGUCUUCUCCGAAAAAACCAAGGAAGAGAGAGGGCUCCUUGCAAAGGCUUUGUAGCUGUGACUUUGGGGUUCAACUUAAUAAAAUUCACGAUGUUUUUAAAAGAAUGACACAGUCAGAAAUGUUUGCCCGCUUGGCCUGAAAGAGACAGACACAGUCCAAUUUGAAGAGCGGCCUUUGGACGCAAAAUUCCACUGGACGGAAGCAGGCUGAGAAAACUGCUCAGUGGCGUGGCAGACACACUAUCUCUGGUGGAAAACGACGGAUGACUCAGAGGGCAAUGCCAGGAACCAGAGAAAGGCAUCGAGGGCUGGGAGCAGGUAUUCCCAGGCCUGGAGACAGAAUCAAGGUGAUUCCCACAUGUCUGGGUUUUGUGGCUGCUCCGAUCCCCGCCUCCCAGCACCCCCAUCUUGCACAGGAAUGUCUAGAGCAGUUAUCCUGUGCCGUCCACACCAGUGUUCACUGGGUGGGUCAAGGGGAAUGGAUCCUUGUCUCUUCAGGUCACAAAUGCGCAGAUCUAGGGAACUGCCCUUGAGUCACUCUACCCAAGAAGAUACACACAAGGAGCCCCAUCCACCCAGACCUGAGGUAGAAGAUGAGAUUCCGGGCUCUAGGCAGGCACUGCGGUGGGGGCCACAGCAGGCAUAAGAGCAGGUAAGGAACUAGAUGCGUGGGUGGGGGGCACACUGCAGUAAGCAGCUUCCUCGACUCCCCAGAGAGCCCCCCUUCCCGUAUCCGACCUCUGUGAAGUCCCCACCCAUUCUGUACCUGGGUUGGUCCCUGGGACCAAGAGCAUAUGGCAGAGGCGAUAGUGUGUUUCUUCCAAAAUGAGAUGAUAAAGCAGUAAAGCUUCUGUCCUGGGAACUGUUCUCCUCCUGUCUCCCCCACUCCCUGCUCCCACUCUCCCUCUGCCCCCCGCCCCGUUCCUCUUUGUCCCUUCAGCCACUCACCCCAGGGUGAGUCCCGAGCAGUCCCGAGGAAGACCCAUCCUGAGAGUAACUGAAGCCUCUUGCCAGCAGCCAGAGCCGUGAGCCAAGCUGGUUCUCCAGACCCCGCCCGCUGAGCCUGGCAGCAGACCGGGACUGAAGCCACAUGAGAAACUUUCAACACCACCACCCACCUGCGCCUUCCACGGAUGUAUGACCCCCCCGAAACUGUGAAACAAUAAAUAAGGGUGUUGUUUUCAGCUGCUGAGCUUCGAGGUUGCUUUGAACUUAGCACUAGAUGAGAAAUACACUGACAUAUGCUGAGUCAGAUGGACACAUUUCAUAGAAGCGUACAUGAACCACAGACUGGGACUCUCCUGGUUUUCCAGGUUUUGGGGAAUUUUUUUCUAAAAAAGAUCUUCCAAAAAUAGACGAUGUGCCUUUCCUACCAUUUCUGAUGUAACUCUCUGACUUUCCACGGCUAACAAAACCAAAAGGAUAAUUCAGUCCAAAAGUUCCCUUGGCUCCUUUCUUUUUAUCCAUAUAACAGAGACUCACCAAGGACUGUGAAAUCAAGAAAUCCUAUCGCGGAAUCCAGAGGUCACUCCUCCCACCAGCAGACCGGACAGAACCUGCGAUUCUAGGUCAUUUCAAGGACACAUCUGUGGAGAUGGUGCGGCAAGAGAUGGGGCGUGGUAGAAAGUAACCACUGGAAUUUAUAAAUCCUUUGUUUUAAAAGUGGUUUGUACGUUGUCUUAAAUAGUUUCCAUCUUUAUUAAUUAGCAUAAGAGUGGUUUCCGCAUCUUACUGAUAAGGAGCCUGGGAAACUGCUGCUCACCCACUUACUGCCAGAGCCCAAAUAGAAAUACCUAUAUCUGCUUGACUUAAAUUUAAUAAACAUUUAUCAAGGUUCCUCAAUAUUCCAAAUACUAUUCCAAAUUUUGUCCUUGUGCUUUGGCAGGUACCAAAAACACAAGGAAAACAUAGGUAUAUGUCCAUAUUCUCCAGGAUCUUAAAGUCUAGGACAUGUCAACGCAAAAUGUCUUGAGCAAUGAUGUCGCAGGAAGGGGACCCCUUCCAGGACCAAGCGUGGGCUCUCAUCUAAUGCUCGGAAGUGAACGUCCCAGGAGACGCAUGUGCUGAUGAGGAUUAUGAUGCUGAUGCGAGAGACGUAUGCAAAUAACCACUGCAGGGCAGCACAGAUGCUUGGCACACACCGAACAGAGGUACCACUGUGAUUUGUGAGGAGCUGCAGGGAAAGACCUUCACGAGGCCAAGAAAAGGCCUGCGAGCUGUAUUCCUAGUUCCUAGCAGAGUUCCUGGCACAGAUAGGCAGUCAACAAACAUGUGUUGUGUCAAUAAAGGAGUAAAACGAUAAAUAAA